GAUCUACUCCCUCCGUCCGAAAAUACUUGUCCUAAAAAUGGAUGUAUCUAGAUAUAUUUUAGUUCUAAAUACAUCCAUUUAUAUCCAUUUCUUCGACAAGUAUUUUCGGACGGAGGGAGUAAUAA
rnacentral:pre_miRNA from 1 species